rnacentral:lncRNA from 1 species
AUCAGCCGUUUUAAAUUUGUGCUGCUUCUAGGCCCCUUAGCAGAACGCCGGCCAUUUCCAUGGAGGCACAGCGGCGUCAUUUCAUGCCCUCCUGCCUCACCCACCUUCAGACGCCGCACACACCCAGCCUUCGCCUGCCCCCAGCACGGGCGCUUCGCCGCGGCAACGUCCAGGAGGACAGCAUCGCGGCCGCCGUUCGUUUUGGGGGAGGAGGUGGUGGUAAUUACUAGCACGUGAUUAUUUUAUUUUGCCUGAAUUAUGUAUAGUGGAAGGAAGCGGUUUGGAGGGGAGGGGACGUUAGGGAGCGUGUUCAACCCCACUCUCAUUGAUUCUAGCCAGAGCGAGAAGAGCAAACCUGUUAAGAAAAGAAAUCACUUCCUUUUUCUUCCUCUUUUCCUCUCUUUCUUCCUCUCGUUCCCCCAGAGUGUAGAAAGAAAGAAAUAAUGCAAAGAGAAGCCCUGGGUGCUGCGGGGAGACGCCCGGGCUGGGUGUCCGCGGACUGUGUGAACUGGUCCCACUACUGAGACUGUUAACUGCACGGAAGCAAGCACUACAGGUCUGCUCUGUCACCACCAUCCAUCCAGGCUGGCAGGAUGCCAAGCUCAAAGUUAGUAUUGUUGGCAGAGACUGCCAGUUGUCCACCAAAGUCUGUUAUCCUUCCCUAGUAAUAGAAUUUAAGCUGCACAUUGCCAGAGGCCCAGCUAGACCACAUUCCCCAGCUUCCUUUGCGGCUGGAUGGCUAGGUGCCGAAGCCAUCACCUGCAGAGAGAGAGGAAGUGGUGUGUAUAACUUAUGCCUCAUUUGCUCAGAAGCCAAGCCCUAGCUCUAGAUUUGUACUCAUCUUCCCGAGGGCAGGAACAUGUCGGUGCCUGUGACCAAUUUGACGUGGAGACAAGGACAGCACUGUGGAGGAUGGCAUUGUAACGGAUGGAAAGACAUGGGCCUAAAGGAACACAUGUGGCAGAGCUUCCCCCAACCUGGACCACUUGCCUUGAAAUGUUACGUAAAUGCAAAAUAAACUUGUGCUUCUUCAAGCCA